GACGUAGGAUGCGAGCGUUGUUCGGAAUUAUUGGGCGUAAAGCGUGCGUAGGCGGUUAUCCAAGUCUGGUGUUAAAGCUAGGAGCUCAACUCCUGUGAUGCACUGGAAACUGGGUGACUUGAGUACGGUAGAGGCAGAGGGAAUUCCAUGUGGAGCGGUGAAAUGCGUAGAGAUAUGGAGGAACACCAGUGGCGAAGGCGCUCUGCUGGGCCGAAACUGACACUGAGGGACGAAAGCUAGGGGAGCGAAAGGG
rnacentral:rRNA from 1 species